rnacentral:tRNA from 1 species
GCCCAGGUGGCGGAAUUGGUAGACGCGCUACCUUGAGGGGGUAGUCCGCGCAAGCGGGUGGAGGUUCAAGUCCUCUCCUGGGCACCA